GAUGAACGCUGGCGGCGUGCCUAACACAUGCAAGUCGAACGGACAUAAUUUGAAACCUAGUGAGAAUUAUGUUAGUGGCGGACGGGUGAGUAACGCGUGGGUAACCUGCCCCAUACCGGGGGAUACCAGCCGGAAACGGCUGCUAAUACCGCAUAAGCGCACAGCUUUGCAUGAAGCAGUGUGAAAAACUCCGGUGGUAUGGGAUGGACCCGCGUCCGAUUAGCCAGGUGGCGGGGUAGAGGCCCACCAAAGCGACGAUCGGUAGCCGGCCUGAGAGGGCGGACGGCCACAUUGGGACUGAGACACGGCCCAA
rnacentral:rRNA from 1 species